GACGAACGCUGGCGGCGUGCUUAACACAUGCAAGUCGAACGGAAAGGCCCUGCUUUUGUGGGGUGCUCGAGUGGCGAACGGGUGAGUAACACGUGAGUAACCUGCCCUUGACUUUGGGAUAACUUCAGGAAACUGGGGCUAAUACCGGAUAGGAGCUCUUGCUGCAUGGUGGGGGUUGGAAAGUUUCGGCGGUUGGGGAUGGACUCGCGGCUUAUCAGCUUGUUGGUGGGGUAGUGGCUUACCAAGGCUUUGACGGGUAGCCGGCCUGAGAGGGUGACCGGCCACAUUGGGACUGAGAUACGGCCCAGACUCCUACGGGAGGCAGCAGUGGGGAAUAUUGCACAAUGGGCGGAAGCCUGAUGCAGCAACGCCGCGUGCGGGAUGACGGCCUUCGGGUUGUAAACCGCUUUCGCCUGUGACGAAGCGUGAGUGACGGUAAUGGGUAAAGAAGCACCGGCUAACUACGUGCCAGCAGCCGCGGUGAUACGUAGGGUGCGAGCGUUGUCCGGAUUUAUUGGGCGUAAAGGGCUCGUAGGUGGUUGAUCGCGUCGGAAGUGUAAUCUUGGGGCUUAACCCUGAGCGUGCUUUCGAUACGGGUUGACUUGAGGAAGGUAGGGGAGAAUGGAAUUCCUGGUGGAGCGGUGGAAUGCGCAGAUAUCAGGAGGAACACCAGUGGCGAAGGCGGUUCUCUGGGCCUUUCCUGACGCUGAGGAGCGAAAGCGUGGGGAGCGAACAGGCUUAGAUACCCUGGUAGUCCACGCUGUAAACGGUGGGUACUAGGUGUGGGGUCCAUUCCACGGGUUCCGUGCCGUAGCUAACGCUUUAAGUACCCCGCCUGGGGAGUACGGCCGCAAGGCUAAAACUCAAAGGAAUUGACGGGGCCCCGCACAAGCGGCGGAGCAUGCGGAUUAAUUCGAUGCAACGCGUAGAACCUUACCUGGGUUUGACAUGGAUCGGGAGUGCUCAGAGAUGGGUGUGCCUCUUUUGGGGUCGGUUCACAGGUGGUGCAUGCCUGUCGUCAGCUCGUGUCGUGAGAUGUUGGGUUAAGUCCCGCAACGAGCGCAACCCUUGUUCACUGUUGCCAGCACGUUAUGGUGGGGACUCAGUGGAGACCGCCGGGGUCAACUCGGAGGAAGGUGGGGAUGACGUCAAGUCCUCAUGCCCCUUAUGUCCAGGGCUUCACGCAUGCUACAAUGGCUGGUACAGAGAGUGGCGAGCCUGUGAGGGUGAGCGAAUCUCGGAAAGCCGGUCUCAGUUCGGAUUGGGGUCUGCAACUCGACCUCAUGAAGUCGGAGUCGCUAGUAAUCGCAGAUCAGCAACGCUGCGGUGAAAAAGUUCCCGGG
rnacentral:rRNA from 1 species